rnacentral:rRNA from 1 species
GUCCCGAACGAACUGGGAGUAAGCGAGGGAAACUUACGUCUAAUACCGGAUACCCCCACUCUGCGUCACAUGGCGUAAUGAGGAAAUGAACUUCGCUUCGGGAGGGGCUCGCGGCCUAUCAGCUUGUUGGUGAGGUAACGGCUCACCAAGGCGUCGACGGGUAGCUGGUCUGAGAGGAUGAUCAGCCACACUGGGACUGAGACACGGCCCAG